UACGUAGGGUGCAAGCAUUAAUCGGAAUUAUUGGGCGUAAAGGGCGCGUAGGCGGGGAUAUAAGUCAGAUGUGAAAUUCCAAAGCUCAACUUUGGAGCUGCAUUUGAAACUAUAUCUCUUAGAGGAGUGGCGGAGAAAGCGGAAUUCCACGUGUAGCGGUGAAAUGCGUAGAUAUGUGGAAGAACACCGGUGGCGAAAGCGGCUUUCUAGCUUAUACCUGACGCUGAGGCGCGAGAGCAAGGGGAGCAAACAGG
rnacentral:rRNA from 1 species